rnacentral:rRNA from 1 species
GAUGAACGCUGGCGGCGUGCUUAACACAUGCAAGUCGAACGGAAAGGCACAAGCUUGCUUGGGUACUCGAGUGGCGAACGGGUGAGUAACACGUGGGUGAUCUGCCCUGCACUUCGGGAUAAGCCUGGGAAACUGGGUCUAAUACCGGAUAGGACCACAUUUUGGAUGGUGUGGUGGAAAGUUUUGCGGUGUGGGAUGAGCUCGCGGGCUAUAAGCGUGUUGGUGGGGUAAUGGCCGACCAAGGCGUCGACGGGUAGCCGGUCAGAGAGGGUGUAAGGCCCGAGUGGGACUGAGAUGCGGGCCAGACUCCUACGGGGGGCAGCAAUGAGGAAUAUUGCACAAUGGGCGCACGCCUGGUGCAGCGAAGCCGAGUGGGGGAUGAAGGCCUUCGGGUUGUAAAAACCUUUCGCUAGGGACGAAGCGUUUUUGUGACGGUACCUGGAGAAGAAGCACCGGCUAACUACGUG